AGAGUUUGAUCAUGGCUCAGGACGAACGCUGGCGGCGUGCCUAAUACAUGCAAGUCGAACGCUUCUUUUUCCACCGGAGCUUGCUCCACCGGAAAAAGAAGAGUGGCGAACGGGUGAGUAACACGUGGGUAACCUGCCCAUCAGAAGGGGAUAACACUUGGAAACAGGUGCUAAUACCGUAUAACAAUCGAAACCGCAUGGUUUUGAUUUGAAAGGCGCUUUCGGGUGUCGCUGAUGGAUGGACCCGCGGUGCAUUAGCUAGUUGGUGAGGUAACGGCUCACCAAGGCCACGAUGCAUAGCCGACCUGAGAGGGUGAUCGGCCACAUUGGGACUGAGACACGGCCCAAACUCCUACGGGAGGCAGCAGUAGGGAAUCUUCGGCAAUGGACGAAAGUCUGACCGAGCAACGCCGCGUGAGUGAAGAAGGUUUUCGGAUCGUAAAACUCUGUUGUUAGGGAAGAACAAGGAUGAGAGUAACUGUUCAUCCCUUGACGGUAUCUAACCAGAAAGCCACGGCUAACUACGUGCCAGCAGCCGCGGUAAUACGUAGGUGGCAAGCGUUGUCCGGAUUUAUUGGGCGUAAAGCGAGCGCAGGCGGUUUCUUAAGUCUGAUGUGAAAGCCCCCGGCUCAACCGGGGAGGGUCAUUGGAAACUGGGAGACUUGAGUGCAGAAGAGGAGAGUGGAAUUCCAUGUGUAGCGGUGAAAUGCGUAGAUAUAUGGAGGAACACCAGUGGCGAAGGCGGCUCUCUGGUCUGUAACUGACGCUGAGGCUCGAGAGCGUGGGGAGCAAACAGGAUUAGAUACCCUGGUAGUCCACGCCGUAAACGAUGAGUGCUAAGUGUUGGAGGGUUUCCGCCCUUCAGUGCUGCAGCUAACGCAUUAAGCACUCCGCCUGGGGAGUACGACCGCAAGGUUGAAACUCAAAGGAAUUGACGGGGGCCCGCACAAGCGGUGGAGCAUGUGGUUUAAUUCGAAGCAACGCGAAGAACCUUACCAGGUCUUGACAUCCUUUGACCACUCUAGAGAUAGAGCUUCCCCUUCGGGGGCAAAGUGACAGGUGGUGCAUGGUUGUCGUCAGCUCGUGUCGUGAGAUGUUGGGUUAAGUCCCGCAACGAGCGCAACCCUUAUUGUUAGUUGCCAUCAUUCAGUUGGGCACUCUAGCAAGACUGCCGGUGACAAACCGGAGGAAGGUGGGGAUGACGUCAAAUCAUCAUGCCCCUUAUGACCUGGGCUACACACGUGCUACAAUGGGAAGUACAACGAGUCGCGAAGUCGCGAGGCUAAGCUAAUCUCUUAAAGCUUCUCUCAGUUCGGAUUGCAGGCUGCAACUCGCCUGCAUGAAGCCGGAAUCGCUAGUAAUCGCGGAUCAGCGCGCCGCGGUGAAUACGUUCCCGGGCCUUGUACACACCGCCCGUCACACCACGAGAGUUUGUAACACCCGAAGUCGGUGAGGUAACCUUUUUGGAGCCAGCCGCCUAAGGUGGGAUAGAUGAUUGGGGUGAAGUCGUAACAAGGUAACCGU
rnacentral:rRNA from 1 species